rnacentral:lncRNA from 1 species
GCCGUACGUCUACUUUACACUUUUAUAGAUCGUUUUAAGGGUAUUUAUGUUUUUUAAAUAUUUUGAGAUUUAAACUCAAAAUAUUUUAAUCUUUAUUAUCUCAAUUUUAUCAUUUCAAUCAAUGACAUAUUUAUUUUUUAUGUCACUUUUUAUGUUAAUUUUUAUAAAUUUGUUAUGUAAAUUUUUUCAUCCAUAUCUGGAUGUAUUAUAAUUUAGUAUAUAUACACACGCAUAUUCAUGCAUGCUUUAGUAUAUAUACACACGCAUAUUCAUGCAUGCUAUCUGAUGACGAUUAUGAGCUGUGUUGAACUUCAGGAUGGCCAACUUAUGUGUUCUUCAUUACCGACUUAUGGGGAAGGAGAAGAACCUGGAAACGAAGCUGGUUACAUUGUAGGAAUGACCACCUGCUAUCCUAAACCCGGAACUGUGGAGAUAUCUAAAGGGGAGACUUUGAUUUUGGAGUCCAAUUACAGUAGAAUCAGGCAUCAUACUGGUGUCAUGGGGCUGUUCUACAUUUUGGUUGCAGACGAGUUGCCCAAGCCAAUGCACGCCUUGCACACUGUUGUUCAAGUAAGUUUCCGACUCUCAAAUAGUAAAAUUGAUGAAGAAAAUUCAUUAACCCAACCAGAUGGUAACUCAUUAUUCACAAAUAUAUUCUUUUACUAAUGUUAACUUCGAUUAAACCAAUGAUGUUUUAAUAUCAUCUGAUGCAGACACAGGACAGUAUUAUGGUGGUAACAAUCCUCUGGGCUGCGGUAGCUUUGAUCGGUGUGGUAGCUGUUAUCGCUGUUGCGGUUCAUUAUCGACUUAAACGCGAGGGUGAAGAUGGCUAUGAAGCAAUUGGGAUGUGAAUGUGCUGUUAUGAGCUCUACUCUGUAUUGCAUCUUAGAGUUCCAGCAAUUUUGUUGUCAAAAUAGUGAUAUGUAUAACACAUAUAUAUUAGUAACUUUUGAACGUUACGUUCAUAUGGAAGACGCCAUUUUUGUAGAUACUUUUGAAAGAUAUAGAUCAUGGUUAAGGUGUUUCAGUGGUCCAAAAUACGAUCUGGCAAUGGCUCAUCUCUUUCUUUGGUGUGGAAUGAGCCCUUUGCUGCCUUAUUAUCAGCCAUGGAUUUCUCUUGGAAUAUUAUAUGAAUAAGAUGGUUGAAAGAAAGUCUAAAUUAGUUAUUUAAAAUGAUACUAAUUUUAAUUUCAUUAAAUAAAUUUUCAGUCUUUGAUUUAGUGUGUACAAAAAAUGAAAGGGUUAUUUCAAAGAAAGAAUUGAUUUAUGUUCAAGGAUUUAUUUACAUACAACUUAAAAUUUUCAUUUUAAUGGUGAUUGCGGUUUUGGUUCAGUGUUUUUAGUUUUCUUAAAUUAUUCCUUUGAUUUUCGAUUUUCACAUGUUUUAUUUUGAUAAAUUUUGUUUUACUUUAUUGCUUAGGCUAAAGUUUUAAAUUUUUUUUAUAAAUAUUUUAAAAAAUAAAUUUUCAAGUGAAUAAAAUAUAAUGAAUAACUCUUAUAUAUUAUAGAAUUUUAAGUUUCCUUUAUUAUGUUAAAUAUUUAUUUUUAAAUCAUAAAAAAUUAAAAUUAAUUAUAAAUAAAAAUAGAAUUUAUCCAAGUUGAUAAAUGUGGUUUUUUAACUUGUUUUGAUUUUAACUUCUAAAAUGGCGCGGGGGAAGGCUAUGUUUUAUAGUAUCUUUUAGGGUAAAUUACAUUAACAGUCACUCAAUUUUGGUGUAGCUGACAAAACAAUCGCUCAGGUUUCAAUUCAAUCACUCAACUUUCGAAAAAUAACAAAACAGUCACCACUAACCAUUUUUCGUUACAGACGUAACAGAGUUACCAUUUUCCGUUACAGACUUUCAUUUUCCAUCCUCCUCUCCCAUCCCUCUCCCUCUUCCCCACCAUCCCUGUAAUGACCCAAAAUUUACAAGCAUCGAAAAAGUAUAUUAUCGGGCCUCCGUUUUAAUAAACUGAGUCAUAAAAAAAUUAAAAUUAUUUAUUUAUUUAUUUGAAGUAAUUAUGAGUUUAGUUGAGUGCUUAAUUAGGUAUUAAUUGGGUGAAUUUAGUUUAAUUAAGAGAAAUUAGGAAAAAGGACUAAAUUAAAUUAGGGAUAAAAGUUGAAUUAUAGAUUAAUAGAAAAUAAAAAGGAUUAAAAUGACAAUUAAGUCAUUAAUAAGAAACGAGGCAGCAUAAGUGAUAAAAAUCUUAGAUUUUUAUGUUUUAUAAAUAUUAUUUUAUUAUAUAUUAAAUAAACUAAAUAGAUGACAAAUGUAUGGUAAAAAUUAAAGACAAGUGUAAUAGUAAUAAUUAUAUAGGUACACUUGUAAUAAAAAUAAAUAUAUGCUUAAAUAAUAAGUAAAAGGUUUUUUUAUAAUAAUAUAUUAUUAAUAUUAUUAGUUAAAAUAAAAGAAAUAAAGUAAGUAAAUAAAACAAAAGAAGAACAGAAAAGAAACAGAGAAAGAGACGAAAAGAGGGGAAGAAAAAGGGGAAGAAAAGAAAGGGGAAAAUUUGAGAUUUUAAAGCUUCAAGUUUAAUUGGUAAGCUAAAUUUAGCCCUUUUCUCUUAAUUUUGAUGUUUUAGAAGCUUUAAAACAAAGUUUUGUUGAAAUUAAGGGGAGGUUAUGGAAGUUCAUAGGUUUUUGAACAUUUUUCAUUUUGAACAAGUUGUUAAAUUAGGGGUUUAGUUGAUAGAAUUUCUAGUUAGAAUAGAUAAAAGGAUUAAAUUGUAAACUAAGUUAUAAGUUUUACAUAGUUGGGAUUAAGUUAUAAAAAGCCUUAAAUUAGGGUUUAGUUAUGAAUAUAGAAUAGUUGAGUUAAAUAUGGCAAGAAAUUAAGUAGAAAAGAAGUAUGAAUUAAGUUAGAAAAUUAAGUAAGCUUAGUUAGAAUUAAAUUGGGAAUAAGUAGGAAUUGAAUAAAAUUUAAUUAUUAUUUUUUUAUGUUGUAAUUAAUAGUGAAAAUAAUUAUUAUUUUCGUAGCUAACAAGGAAAACGAGGCAUCGGCAUCCAAAGGAAAAGAAAAGAUCGUUGAGGAGUAAACACAUAUUCCGGGUUUGUAUUACUAUAACUUAAACUAUUUACUAAAUGCUAUAUUAAAAUUGUAAUCAUGGGACAUUUAAAGUAAGGUAAGUAAUAACAUUUGAAAUUAAGUAAGAAUAUGUGUGAAUAUUGAAUUAUAUGUGAAUUGAAAUAAUAGAUGUUUUGAAUUGUUUGAAUAUUUGAAAUUGUUGUGGAAAUGAAUUCGAAAUUGGAAAAGUAAAAUAAUACCCUAUUAACUUAUAGGACUAGAUUGGAUACAAAUGGCAUGCCAUAGGAUUUGUGAUGUGACAAGGAGAUUUGUAGUUCGGCCGAGAAGAUGAUUCUGUUAUUAUAUGCUUCGGUUUAUCCGAAGAGGCAUCUAAUGCCUUAUUGGUGUGUUUGGAGGUUAUGAUAUACUGGUGUGUUAUGGAGGAUUUAUAUUAUUCCGAAUGUGAUUAGGUUGGAUAUUCUGGUGUGUUUGGGUGGAAUCUGAGUAUCUGUCAGAGUCCGAGCCUUGUUAAUAGGGUAAAUAAUUGAAAUGAAAAUUUGAAAAUAAGAUUGGUUGAUUUGACACUAUUGAAAAAUACGAGAAAGAAUGUAUGAGUUAAAUUAUGAAUUGAAUUAGUAUGUAAUAUAUAUAUAUGAAUUUAAGAUUUGUGAAGUGAUAUAUAAAUAUGUAUAUUUAGUUUAAGUGAUUUAUAAGCUUAUGGUCGAUGUUUGAAAUUUUAUUAUUAUUAAAUAGUUUAAUUUAUAGUAAUACCACUGAGUAUGAAAUACUCAGCAUACGGUUGUUUCCGUGCUCAGGUUGUAGAAGUUAAGUACAGAACCAGCAUCCAAAACCAGACCCAACUUCAACAAAUUUUGGUGAUGUAUAUUUUCUUUUGGUAAUGUGGCAUGUACAUAGGAUGUGUAUAAAUGUUAUUAUGUUUUGAAUAUAAAUAGUUAAAAAUGUUAGUAGUAUAAGUCUAAGAAUUUUAAUGAAAGAAGUUUAUCCAUUUCAAUUUAAUUAGUACAUUGAUAAAUUUAAAUUGAUAUUAAGUUGAUUGAGUUUGAUUAGAAGGUAUUUAGAAUAGAAAAUGAGAAUGUGAAAUGAAUUGGUUGAAUUGGUUAUAUUUGGAAGUAAUAUGGUUUUAUUUGCAGGGGGUUUUAUGUAAAAAUAAGCAGAAAUGCUGUCGAAAUUUAAAAAAAAUGGAAUAUUCGAACAAGUUCUGUUUUAUAUAUAUAUAUAUAUAUAUAUAUGUUUUAGGCUUUGAGAGUCUAUUAUAUGGAUUUUGUUAUUAAAUUAUAUUACCAAUGUUAAUUUAUGUAUGAAUUAUUCAUAAGUUGUUUGAUAUGUUCGGUAAUGCCUCGUAACCUUGUUCCGGUAACGGUUUGGGGUUAGAGGGUGUUACAAUCCCUCCUCCUACUCUUAUGCUUUCCCUCCCCUCCCCUCCCCCCCCCCCCACACCGUCUCUUUGCUAACCCUCUUCCCCUACUUGAUGAAGGUAUCGAUACUUGAGGCCUAGGUAUCGAUACCUAGCCUUCAAUAUCGAUACCAACAUAAAAAACGUUACCAAAAUUACAUUUUGUUUUGGAAAUUUUAAGUUUCAAAGCCUAGAUAUAGGUAUGUUUUGAUACCUUAAGUAAAUUUUGAUAAAAAUCAGCUGAAAAUUUUGCUAAAAAUCCUUGCAAAACUUUGGAUUCUUUAUAACACUUAAAACCAUUUCAAAGUGCCUUCAAGCUAUCUAAAACAACUCCGAAUUAGCCAAAUUAUCACAGAAUCAACCACAUACGCAAGCAUGCCUAUGGCUAUCAACAAUUCAUUUUAUGUAGAAUCAAAAUACUUCAGUUUAAAAUACCAAAAUAGAUAAAGUUUAAAGAGUUUGCAUUUUAGUCCCUAACACUUUGGAACACAUUUGAACUACCUAUGUACAUGUCAUUUUAACUCAAAAUAUAGUACCUACAUUCGUUGCCUUUGAAGAUGUGAUGAGAUGAAAUGACUUCUAACUCUAAUCUAGCUCUACAAGUCUAACUGUAUCUAUCCGUUGAAAUAAACGCGUUAAGCCAGUGAAGACUUAGUAUGCACUACAGAAUAAAAAGGUAAAUGAAUCAUAACAUAAUGUUUAAUCUUAUUCGAUUAAUAUACAUACUUACACACAUACAAAUUUCUACAACUAUACUUUACUUUAACAAAAUUCAACCUACCUUUGAAAUGUAUUAAACUUACCUCAACACUCUGAUGAUUCACUUUUGUUCACAUUUCAUAUCCUUAGCCUAUAGUAGACUUUUAUAAAACAUACCAGAUAUACAGAACAAAUAAAGAGGUGCAUUAUUAUGCACUAAUGAACAGAGAGCACUAAGGUGCUAUACAAAUAGCAUAAAUGUGCUAAACGGAGAGCAUUAAUGUGCUAAACUGAGAGCACUAAUGUGCUAAUAAUCAGAGAGCACGCUAAGGUCCCUUAAUGGCAUGCCACUAAUAUCCUAGUAGUUUUUCAUUCUGUCUACUUGGGCAUUAAAACCGGAUUUAGUACAAUUUCUCAUAAUAAAUAUAUGUCUUGAAAAAUAUUCCAUAUUUUUCCUAUUUCACAAUUUAGUCUUUAAUAAAUAAGUCACAUGUAUAACAUCUUUUUCAUACAUAUAUUUCUUUCACAACAUUAUUACUUAGUAUUCAAAAAAAUAUACUGUUUCAUAUUCUUCCUCUAUAAUUCUAUUUAUAAAUCUCAUGAUUUCAUAAUUUAACCCUUUAUUUAAUAUCUAUUUAUAAAUAUAUAUAAUUAACAUUUCUAUCCUAAGAAAUUUCAUAUUAGCAUUUAAAUAAAAUAAAUUAAAAUUUUAUAGUACUUACAAAAAAAUGAUUGAGAUGAUGUAUUUUAUUUUCUUCUCACUCAAUGGCCUUCUCUUUCCCUUUUUCUUCAACUUGAUCAUUUCCUUCUUUUCUUUCUCUUCAAUUUCAUAUAAAACAUAUAUCAUUUAUAAGUUAAAACUAAAAUCAUAUAACUUUUCUAUGUUAGUUAAUGAAAAUAAACAUGUAUGACAUGAUAAUUUCAUCAUCAUCUCUUACCUUAAUUAACUCUUUGAAAACCCAAAACCCUAAUGUUGACACCAUUUUUUUUGAUAAAAAUAGGGUCGACUUGGAUUUUAAAAAUGAAAACGAAAAUGGGAGUCGCCACCAAUCCUUUUUGAUGAGGUGUGAUCGGAUCACCUUAAAAAGUGGUUAUUUUUAAUAAACGAUUUGAUUUUAUUUAAAACAACGAUUUUGGUCUACGAAAUUCAGAAAAAUAGAUUCGGGAGUCGGCUACGUACGAGGAAGGAUUAGCACCCUCGUAACGCCCAAAAAUUGGUACCUAGUUGAUUAAUUAGUGUCUUAGUGUCGAAGAUUGAAAACUUUGAAGGAUUUUAAAAAUGCGAUCCUUUAUUGAAAUGUUGAAAAUUUUCGAGAAAAUGGCAUAUUUCACGUUAAUCGAGGAAAAUAAUUAUAGCCAGUAAGUUAGGACACAAUAUCUUGAAUUUUCGAUGCGCGAAUGGAUGCCAAAAAUUACUUAUUCAAAAGAUAUUUAGCUAUCUCAGAUAUAAAAAAGAGAUCAUACCCAGUAAAUUAGGACACGAUCUUUUCUUACUUCCCGAGAUCUUUUAAAACUUGAGAAAAAGAGAUCAUGCCCAAUAAGUUAGGACACAAUCUCUUCUUAAUUCUCGAGAUCGUUUAAAACUUGAGUUUGAAAAGAUUAGUGUAUUUAGAUUUAUUGUGAAAAUCGAAACCCAGUAAGUUAGGGUAUGACCUUCUCAAAUCUAAAUACAAGAUUUUGCUUGUUUUAAAAAAUUUCUUUUUAUACAUUGCGUAGAAAGGUCAAAUAUGUUUAAACAUAGUGUAUGAUACAAUGAUAAUGAAAUAGUGUGAAAUGGCUAUGUGGGUAGAGUAAUACAUAAAGGAAUAUUAUAAUAUUUACAAUGUAACUAUAAUAAUAAUGUACCAAAUAAUAAUAGCGAUAAUCAUAUUAAUUACUAUAGCAUGAAAAUACGAAUAAAUGAAAUAAUACACAUAAUGACAAUACUUACACCACACACCAAAUACAAAUAUUAAUAACCAAAGAAGACGAAAUAUAAUAGAACAUAAAACAAUUUAAAGAAAAUAAUAAUUCGAAAUAAAUUAUAUAUAAGGACAAUUCAAAAUAAAUAAAAGAGGGUUCCAAAUAAGCAUAAUAUAUAUAAAAAAAACUAAAAAAAGCAAUAAAACACUUUAAAAUAAAUAAUAUAUAAAAAAAUAACACAUGAAACAGUUUUUUUAAAGAAAAUAUAUAUAUACAUAAAAAUUUGAAAGAUAUAUAUACACAAAUUUACAAUAAAUAAUAUAUAAAAGAAAUUUAAAUAAAUUAUACAUAAAACAGUUCAAGUAAAUAAUAAAUAUAACAACUUAAAACAAAUGAUGAUAAAAGAGCACUUUUUAAUAAAUAGAUAAAUUAAAUGGACUGAUGAUGAAAUUGAAAUGGAAUUUAAAAUUCGGGGUAUAAAUUAAAAAUCAUAAAAAUAGUAAAAACAAAGAUAAAGGGCUAAAAUAAAUGAGAAAAUGAAGUAAGGGGACCAAAAAAGAAAUUAUCCCAAACCACCUAAACGCGUAGUUUCGCGCGGGAUUAAAAUGAAACAGAAAUAAAAUUAUGUGGACAAAUUAAAAUAAAAGAAAAGAAAGCAAAAGGGACCAAAUUGCAAUAGUCUGAAAAUUCAAAAGGACCGAAUGCGCAAAUAACCCAUGUGCUAGAAAACAGGCGGAUCCUAGCCUCGUGGGUCGGGUUAUCGGGUCAGAUUCUGGUUAUUGUUGAAACGACGCCGUUUUGGUGACUGGAAAUAAAACCCAAAACGACGCCGUUUUGGUAUGCUAUAAAGGCAGAAUUUUUUUUAAAAGGCCAUUUGCUUCUCUUUUAAAAAAAUAAAAAAAUAAAAGCUUUCUCUUCAUUUUCUCUCUGGGCAUUGCCCAAGAUCCGGCCAUGGGGCCACCAUCCGUCCGUCAUGGCCGUCGGCCGGCGACAGCGGUGACCGCCAUAUAUGGCUAUCGGAGUCCUAAAAAAAGAACCCAUUUUGAUCCAAUCGACCUCCCCAUGCUCGUUUUGAAGCUGCAAUCUUCAAAAGACAAACGAAAGUACCUGAACGAGCCAGUGACCCCCCAAAUUCCGGCCUCGCUGUUAACGGCCGAUUUUGGCGACAGAGGGAGGACCCCCCAACGACAUGGCCGUGGCACAUUUCAGGUACGCUUCUCUCUUUUCGUUUUUUAUUUUAGUACAAAAACGAAAAUAAAAGAGAUAAAAAAUAAAAAGAGAUAAAAAUAAUAAAAUGAAAACAAGAACCGAAAAAAAGCUUUUCCUUUCAAAAUUUUCUCUGCUUUUCUUGUUUUUUUUAUUUAGAUGUUCGUAAACGGAAGAAGAACUACAAUCGUCUGAUUUUCGGCUUUUAUAGCCGAUUUACAGCCUUUUAGUUUCUUUUUUUUUUGUCACUUUGCUAUUUGGCUUUUCUGCUGCUGCGUGUGGCUUCGUUUUGCAGGUGACAGAGCAGUGUCAGACGCGUGAAGGAGGUGGCGUGUGGCAUGCGACGCUGGGCAGAAGCAGGAGCGGCGGCCAGCAGCAGCUAGGGUUCUCUGCUGCUGAAAUUUUAAUUUCCUAGGCUAGGGUUUUUUUAUUUUUGGGCCUGUUGGGUGUUCGUUUUGGAUAUUGGGUUUUUGUGUGUUGGGCCCGGGCAGAUUUUGGGCUUUACACCUAACUUUUGUUUUUUUUCUUUUAACACAUUUAUGGAAGUUUUCUCAUGAGACUAAGGGCUAGUUUGGAUGGGCGGUGUGUUUACCUCCGGUGAGGUUAAAAACAGCGGUGGUGGUGAGAUUAGGUACUGUAGCGUUGAGAUUGGAUACUGUAGCAGUGAGAUUAGAAACAGCGGUGGAGUGUGUGUUUGGAUUCAAACGCAGCUGUAGCGGUGAGGUGAAAAUAGAAAAUGACUUUUAAGGAUAUUAGAUUAAAAAUGAUAUAUAAUAGAAGUUUUUAAAAUUAUUUAACAAUUACAAAAUUAAUAAAUGAUUAAAAAUUAUUAUUAAAUAUAAUUUAAUAAAAAUAUAUAAUUUAAUAAAAUAUAUGAAUUUACUAAAAUUAUAAUAUAUAAUAUUAUAAAAUAUAAUUUAAAAUAAUUAUUAUUAAAUAUAAUUUAACAAAAAUAUAUAAUUUAAUAAAAUUCUUAGUAUUAAAUAUUCUUAUAUGAAUUUACUAAAAUCAUAAUAUAUAAUACUAUAAAAUAUAAUUUUAAAUAAUUAUUAUUAAAUAUAAUUUAACAAAAAUAUAUAAUUUAAUAAAAUUCUUAGUAUUAAAUAUUCUUAUGAUUGUAUCAACAAACUUCAUCAAUUUCUUCUAUCAAAUAUUAAAAUAUUUGAACUUGACUUUGAAUAUUGAUUUUAUGAUUGUUACUUUACCAUCAGCAACCCAAGUUCAAUUUACUUAACAACAUAAUGAAUUAGGGUUUUUCUUCAUAUUCUCAAUUAUGUAUUCCAUUUCCGACCGUAAAGCACCUUUCAACUCAUCUCAUCAGUGAUUUUUUGUCCAUUGACAAAUUAGGAUUCUAUUGUUUGUGCAUCAACAAUUUCGAAUUCUAAAAUUUAGAACGUAAAUUUUAUUUUCUCAAUUUCAAUUUUGUUUCUAGAUUUGAAUUGCAGCAAUUUUGGUCUUCAAUGUUGUUUUCUUCUUUCAUUUUAACUUCUUCUUUUUUGUUAUAUUUUCUGAUGCAUUUUUUAUGAUUAAACUUUUAGACAUGUUUUGUAACACCCCUUACCCGUAUCCAACACCGGAAUAGGGUACGAGGCAUUACCAAAACACAUACACUUGUAAACGUAUUUAACCGAGUUAUAAAAUUUCAUCAAAAUUAAAACUUUCAAAAAUAAUUAACAUGUUUCUAUAACUUUUCACAAUAUAUCCUCAAAAUAUUAUAAUCAUAAUAAUUAGGGCCUGCGAGACCCGAUACAUACUCAUGCAAUUUAAUGCUUCAUUUCCAUUUCAUUCAAUUCGCAAUUUCUCAUGCUCAUAAUUUAAAUCAUAUCACUAGAAAUUUCCAUUUAAUUCACGUACAAUUCAAUGACAUCAAAUUCAAAACUAAUACGUAUUUACCAUUUAACUCAAUGUUUAUUGAUUAUACCAUUCAAUAACACAUUUAUGAAAUUCUCAAUUUAGCAAUGAAAAUAUCACUUUAGUUUGAAUAACAACAUCGUCCUGAUAUAAAUACACUACCACUUAUCCAUUUACUUUAAUUCUUUUGGGCCCAUUUGUCACUUACCAUCCUUAAUCAAAUUAGGGAACGGUCACGGAAAAUUGAGUACUUCACUUUCACUUUGCCAUAGUAUAACUAUGGUCUUACGUAUGAUCACUUAUCACUUGUCCCUGAUCAGAUAAGUGUAGCCACCUAUCACUUUGUUUCUUGAUCAGAUAAGUGUAGCCACUUAUCACUUUGUUUCUUGAUCAGAUAAGUGUAGCCACUUAUCACUUUGUCACUUGAUCAGAUAAGUGUAGCUAAAGCUAUCACUUACCACUUUGUCUCUUGAUCAGAUAAGUAUAGCCGAAGCUAUCACUUAUCACUUUUCACUUAUCACUUGAUCAGAUAAGUGUAGUCGAAGCUAUCACUUAUCACUUUCCACUUGUCACUUGAUCAGAUAAGUGUAGCUGAAGCUAUCACUUAUCACUUUGUCACUUGAUCAGAUAAGUAUAGCCGAAGCUAUCACUUAUCACUUUAUCACUUGAUCAGAAGUACUCAAAUCCGGCGUUCCGCUCAAUUUGAUCAUUUAUUCAUAUAUCAGGCUUACCAACAUGUAUUAAUUCAUAAACCAUUCAUGGUAUUAUUUCAUGCCAAAUCAUAUACUGAAUAUACCAUACACACAUACUAUGAAACUUUAUUUUCACACAUGAGCUUAAACCAUGACCAAUAAUGCACAAAAAUAAGCAUCAUUCAUAUUUCAUCGUUUAUGAGUUAUAAUCAAACAUAUGACCAUUUAUACACGAAUCAUUCAUAUAUUUCCCAAUUUUCCUCCUCCUCCUCUCCAUUCCACAUCCUUAAUGUGUAUAACACACUUAAACAACAUUAACCAUAAUUUCAAUAUUCACCAACAUGUAUAUUCAAAGCUGUUUAUCCGAGUCAGAGUCACUAAAUUAUUUUUAUCCGGAGCUACAGAGCUCCAAAUUAAGAUCCGUUAAUUUUCCCUGAAACUAGACUCACAUAUCUUCAUACCAUAAAAUUUUCAUAAUUUUUGCUUCAGCCAAAUAGUACAGUUUAUUCUUUAAAGUUUCCCCUGUUUCGCUGUCUGACAGUUCCGACCACUCUUCACUAAAAAUUAAUUAUCUCAUUGUACAGAAUUCGGAUGAUGUUUUAGCUUGUUUCUUCUAAAAAUAGACUCAUUAAGGAUUCUAACCAUAUAAACUAUAACUCAUAAUAAUUUCUGUACAAUUUUUAAUGAUUUUCCAAAGUCAGAACAGGGGAACCCGAAUUCAUUCUGACCUUGUCUCACAAAAUCUAUUAUAUCUCAUGAUUUACAAUUCCAUUGCUCACAUAAUUUCUUUUAUAAGAAACUAGACUCAAUAAGCUUUAAUUUCAUAUUUUAUUCAUCCUCUAAUUCAAUCUCUACAAUUUUUGGUGAUUUUUCAAAGUUACACUACUGCUGCUGUCCAAAACUGCUUUAGUGCAAAAUGUUGAUUUCCAUUUUGCCCCAAAUUUCACAGUUUAUACAAUUCGGUCCUUUCUCAAUUAACCCCUCAAUUAAUCUAAUUUUCUCAAUUAGUACUUUACUAGACAUUAUAAGUUGUUACACAACUAUUGAAAUUCAGAAUUUCCACAUAUAACUCUAUCUUCAAACUCUUUUACUAUUAGGUCCCAAACAUUCACUUUCUAUUCAAUUCUUUCAAUAAAAUCAGCAUAUGAACAAUUUAAAGCUCUAAUUUCAUGCUAAAUCAUCAUAUACUUCCAGCAAAUAUUCAUAUCAACUUUCAACUUCUUUCAUAAAAUCAAAAACUAAUGAAUUUAACAAGUGGGCCUAGUUGUAAAAGUCAUAAAAAUACAAAAAUUUCAAGAAAUAGUCAAGAAUUGAACUUACUUGUAAUAAAAAUAUGAAGAACCAGCUUGAAGAAGCCCUUCCAUGGUGUUUUAGCUGAUGAGAAUUCAGAAAAAUGAAGAGAAAUCUAGAUAAUUCCACUUGGGUCCUAACUUUAUUAAGCAAAUUUUGCAAUUUUCCAAUUUUGCCCUUAAUUCUCCUUACUUUCUUGCUGAUUUCAUGCCUCUGCCGUCCAGCCCAAAUAGACCUUGGGUCUAUUUGCUUUUUAAGCCCUCUUCCUUUUAUCAUUUAAGCUAUUUAAUCAUUUCCCAAAAUUUUGCAUUUGUUACAAUUUAGUCCUUUUUGUUCAAUUAAUUAUCGGAACUUUAAAAUUUCUUAACGAAACUUUAAUACUAACUUUUUAACACUCCAUAAAUAUUUAUAAAAAUAUUUAUGGCUCAGUUUAAAAUCCCCGAGGUCUUGAUACCUCAUUUCGAUUCUAAUUAUUUUAAUAUUUAUUUCUAGUGCACUAUUCACUAUUUCAAAAAUUUUCCUAACUUCAUAUUUAACUUAUACUUACUAAAUUAAUAAUAUUUUCUACCCAUUUGUUGAAUUUAGUGAUCUCGAAUCACCGUUCCGACACCUCUGAAAAUUCAAGCCAUUACAUUUUUUUUUCGUCGGAUUUGUGGUCCCGAAACCACUGUUCCGACUAAGCCUAAAAUCGGGCUAUUACAUGUUUAUUUUCAAUUUUUUCCAUGAGCAUUUAGAUAAAAAAAAUAUUAAAACUAUUCAAAAGUUACUUGUUUGCUUCAAAACGAAGCAUAUAAGGACUAAAUUGCUCAUUUUUAUAUUAGAGGACCCAAUUUGCUCUUGAAUUUCUAAUAGUUUAACCAACAAAAAUCUUACAUGACCUAACAAAAAACCUCUCCAACUAAAUUGCACGCAUAACUUGUUUAGCAAGGUUCAUUUUGUCUAAAGAUUGAACAGACUUGGAUUAACAAUUUAUAUAGAUAAAAUGUACUCUUAUUGUAAUCGACUUGGACAAAUAUGAAUGGUGGUCAUCUUUUAUAAAUACAAAUUUGUCAUCAUACAGGUUUAAAAGAAAGUAAAAAAAAAAAGCUGAUCAUUUCAUCAUUCAAUUUUAAACAUUUAAGAAAGGUAUAGGUUUUCUGUCUAGCCAUGAUUCUAUUUUCUCAAAGCACUUGACAGGUACCACCCCAUCAAAACCUUAAGUCAAUAUCACUUUAUUGUCUGAAAUGUAAAGCUUCAUGCCUUCUGCAGUCAUCAAGAAAACAAGCGAAGACAACUUAAGAACCGUAGUUUGGCAAGAACAAAUCAAUAUAUGUUCGGCCACGACUCUAAAGAAAAGUGAGAAAGAUGACUUGCUUCUUUCAUGAUUCUAUGAACCGAAGCAAUAACUGCAAGCAUGCUUACAUUCCAAAACUUUUCUAACAUCAAGAUAGAUCAAAACGUUAACAUCUCGUCUCAUACCUGAAGAGGGUAAAAGAUACAAAUCAUCAUAAGCCCUCUACAGCAUUUAGAUUCACUAAAACUCAAUUUAUGUCAAUUAGUGCUUGUCAUUUCCCAUUAUCGCUUAAAAUUCACGUUUUAUAUCGGCACCUUAGUAAUCCCCUUUCAUAAUCUUUAGCAUGAAUCCUAUGGUGAAAUGCAGAUAACAAGCAUAACAACACCCCUAAGCAGUUUGUCACGUAUACAGUGCUGGCAUAUUAAAAAUAGAGAGUAAAAUGAAGGAGUUCGUAUAUCAAAGUUCAGAGGAACAGUAAAGAGAAAUUUCAUGAUAUCUCACCACUUAUCACUUCACCGUCAGUCGGCAAGCCACUUGAGAAGUGAACAUGCAAUCUUUUCAUGCGCUUCAAACCCGACUCCAAAAUUGAUUCCAAAUUCCUUUUAUAGGUUCCAUGUACGCAAACUAUCAUCUCAGGGAAAAUCAAGAGGAUUAUGCAAAAUAAAAGGCAUAAAGAAAGUCCAUAAAUCUAAGAGACAUGAUGUUCUUACAUUGCACUUCAUCAGCUGAAAGUAUUUGUUUUAAUAAUCUUUCGGACUCAACUGUCUGCCAACGUGACAUACAAUAUCUUCCUUAGAAGUGCAUAGACAUAAAUAAAGAUGCUCAAGACAACAGCUAAAAAUAAUCUAAGGUGACAAUUCAGAUAAAGCAUGAAGAAAUUAAUAAAUUUUUAAGAAAGAUUCAUCACCAUGACGGUAUGACCUUGGUUUGCACGUAUCAGAAGCUCCCCAUUUUCCUCAAGAAGGCUAAACCGUUGUUUAUUAUCUUUUCUGACAGCCUACAAUCAAUAAACAUAAAAACCAUGAAAUUUCUUUUGGCUGCAAAACGAACAUUUUCCUUCUCAUGAUUGUUUAUACACCAACAUUUUGGAGACUAAGAAUCUAAAUCACUUAUAAGUAAACAACAAAUAGUAUUUAGCUCAAAGAAGGAAAAUGUUUAUACAUCAAUAGCUCAAAGAACAUUUCUGAGGCAGUACAUGAACUGUCCUCUUUCUCCUCCCGCGUUCAGCACAACUCAUCUGCUUCUUCCCUGCAUUAGUAAACUGAUCACUUAAUUUGCUUAUAUAAAAUUCAACAUGCAAAUACAUGGAUUUAGCAGCACUAAAAGGAAUAGAAUUAUGGAAGAAGAAAACAACAAUUUUUUUGUCGGCAUCAUCCAGCUUUUGGUUUUGAGCACCGUCAGCUGCUGACUGCUCACUAGGCGAUGGAUACACUGGAAAAUCAUUACCGAACAUAAUAUUAAGUUGCUACCAACUAUGAAUUCAGUCAAUUGAUACAACAGUAAGUCCACAUCUUCAUCAACAAAACAACUGCACAAUAUAUUUGCUACUUAAAGAGAUUUAUGUGCUUCACCUCAUUUCUUUCCCAUUAUUUACAUUUUAGAAAAGAUUUCCAUUCAUUUCCUCGGCAGGGGUUUCAUUAACAUUGUCUUUUACAAAAACUAGAAGUUUUUCAUAAGAAUUUCACGACACUACUUAUUAAUGUAUUAGAUGCUCAAAGAAAGAAAUUGCAUCAGUUGCUAGUUUCAACUGCCUAAAACCUCAUUAGCACAUUCAUCAUAAGAAGCCUUCUUUUCUGGAAAGAUUACUGAAUGCAAAACAAUGAUAUGAAUUUAUCUGUAGGACUACUUUUGAAAUUUAACCAAAUAACAGAAGGGUCAUUAAAAUAAAAUAAAAAUUUUAGCAAAAAUAGACCCUUUGGUUGCGUCCUCUAAGGUAUACAACAGUUUCAUGGCAUCGGUGUUUCUCAAUUCACCAGCAAUAGUUGAAAUCUGCAAAAGGAGAAAUGCAUGUUAACCCGUAAACAGUCACCACCAUCACCUUGACCAAACUGAUUUGCAAACCAAGGGAAAGGGAAAAGGGAAGGGGAAGGGGAAAGGGGAGAAGAAGGGUAACCAAAUAUCAGAAGAAACAAAAGGGGAAAAGAAACAAAAGAAAUAAUAUGGGUAAAAGAGGAAAAGAAAAAGCAACUGGAGUUGCUAAAUUUUUACCGGACCAACAAUCUCCAGUUGAUUUGGGGCUGACCAACGUGGUGGAGGCUGCUUCUCACCGCACUGGCAUGCUGAACCAAAGGGCUGACCAGUGAGGUUGCUGCCAUUUCCCCCCCCCAACCGCACCUCACUGGUAUGCAAUGACAAACCAAAGGAGCCCUAAGAUGCUCACUACCCUUCUUUACAGUGGUAGAGCCAAGGAGGGAUUGGCAAGGGCCUUGGCCCCCCUAAGAUGGAAAAUUGUUCAUUUAAGCUAUUUAUAAUUUAUAAAAUUUUAAAUUAGUAAUGGUAAAAACGUACAUUGGCCCCCAAAAUGAUAAAAUUUUGAUUUAAUUCUUUAAAAAUUAUAAAGAUAUAAACUAUUAAAAUAGUGAAAUUACAUUUUCACUAUCAUAAAAAUAUACAAUUUAAUUCCGAACCCUCCCCUAAAUUUUCUAGCCCCGCCGCUGCUUCUUUAUAGUUUUUACUAAAGAAAUUUCAAAAAAAAAAGAAAGAAAGGUUUUGAGCUUAAUUGGUUCAAGAAUGGAGGAAGGAUACAAAGGGAAAUAAAAGAAAAGUUUGAUGGAAACUUGGGGGGUGAGUAACGGUGAGUUUGGCGAAAAGAUGACAACUUUUCAUUUUUUCUCGCACUUUUUACACCAUUUCAUAAAAAUAUCUCAUUUUUUUGUAUUAAAAAAGGUCAAAUUGCUAAUAGGUCCUUAAGUCAUCCAUCUUUUCACUUUAGCCCUAAUCAUUGUCUAAAAAUAUCUACUUGGCUAAUUAUCAUCUUAUCAUUUUUUACCUUUUAUAAUUCUUAGGAUGACUCAUAUUUCACCCUGGUUAAAUUUAUUCUUAAUCCUUCCUUCCUUUUCACCACUACUAUGUAUCUCCUAACUUUUUAUUUUCCCUUAUUUGGUCACAACAAAUUCUCUAUUCUUUCAAUUAAAUCAAUACUUCUAUUUAAAAUUUUCCUAUCUAAGGAGCAUUUUCUAAUCUCCUACCGGGUCUAAAUACUUCCUAAUUAGAUACUCAAAAUUCCUAUUUGUUCUAUUUCAAAAAUUUUGCACUAAUUCCUGAUUCGAUCCAUCACUGUAUCUAACUCUGAGUUAAAAUGUGAAUGUUCCGUAGGCCCUUUAAAAUUUUUAAAAAUUUAAAUUAGUAAAAGUAGAAUUGCACUUUGUCCUCCCUAAAAACAUAAAAAUUUGAUUUAAUCCUUUAAAAAUUAUAAAGAUAUAAACUAUUAAAAUAGUGAAAUUAUAUUUUUACCAUCAUAAAAAUUACAAUUUAAUUUCGGCCCCUAAUUUUUUUUUGAUUUCGCCCCUAUCGGUCGGUAAAUAAAUAUUUGUCUCAUAACCACUAUUCUAUAAUUUAUGUAUAAUCUUGCUAGGGGUGUGCAUAAUUCGGGUAAAACCGAAAAAAUUCGGUUAAUCUGUCGAUUAACCAAAUUUUUUCGGUCAGGGGUCAGUUAAUUUUUUUUAUGAUUUUUUGGUUAAUGGUUAAUUCAGUCCGAAACCGGUCGGUUAACCGAAUUUUUUCGGUUAACCGAAAAAAAUAAUAAAUAAAAUUAUUCAACCCAACCCAAUUACCCAACCCAAUAAAACUAAAACUAAAGUCUACCCAAUUAUCAACUCAAUAAAAAUAAAACUAAAGUUUAACUCUUAAGUAUCUACCCAAUUACACAUGUUUUUUUUUUAGGUUUAAUGCAAAUGAAGAUUUUUUGGAGAGAAGAAAUGUAUAUAAAUGCAGAAUAUUAAAGACUUACAUUUCAACUAUGUGCUAAUUUCAAGAAUUAUAUAAUGUUUUUAAUUAUGUAAUGGUUCAAAUACUUAUGUAAUAUUUUUAAUUAUGUAGUGAUUCAAUUCGGGUAAUUCAGUUAAUUUUUAACCAAAAAUAAAAACCAUAUAAUUUUUGGUUAAUUCGGUUAACCGACCUAAUUAACUGAAAAAAUUUCAGUUCGAUUAACGGUUAAAAAUUUUAAAAGGUCGGUUAAUUCGGUUAUAGCUAUUUCAGAUCGGUUAACCGAAUGCACACCCUAAAUCUUGCUACUACCGUUUGGAGUUGGUUAAUAGGAUUAUAAACUAAUUUAGGUAUCUUGGUUAUAAAUGGAAACUAAUGGUUUUGAUAACAGUCCAAUUAUCUUGGAGAUUUUAUCCCAAAUCGUCAUGGCUAAAUCAUCCGAAAAACUUUAAUUAAAUAUUAAAAAAGAAAAUCAAAUUAUUGGCGUCAUCGCUUAUGUUUGCAUUUUGUUAGGUUCAAUUUCCCAUUCCCAUCCCAUAUCGAUGUGUAACUUAAAUAUGUGAAGAGAAACGAGUGGCUCGUGGAGUAGUGGCUGAAGGGUGAGUAGCGGUAAACUCAGAACGCUUUGGUACGCUUUGUUUUGUUUUGUUUUGUUUGUUUGUUUGAUCGUCCCUAUUUAUUUCCUGGUUUUCUGAAGAUUUGCAGCAAAUUUUGUUUUCCUUCUUUGGGUUUUCUUUUUCAUUUGGAUUGCUUUCAUGUAUGGAUUUGGUAGUUGCCCUUAUCUGUAUUUCCUCCCCCAAAUUGCACUUACUCGUAAUUUGCUGAAAUCCCCGGUGGAAUUUUCCAGUUUGGGUGGUUGAUUUCGUUUUCAUUAGUAGUAUACACACAGGCAUACUGAUUCAAAAAUAUUGCUUUCAAAAUUGUUCCUCAGAACUAUCAAAAUAAACUGGGUGAAGAUGAAUAGUUAUCAACUGACUAUUUUAAAAAUCUUUUAUUGCAAUGUCCUGUUGCCAAAAACUAUGUUGCUUCUGUACUUAGAUAUUAAGGUCGGAUACAUGUAUAUAUCUGGUACGAAUGAUUACAUCACGGGUACUGGUGACUACAGCAUAAUCUUAUUAACUUGCUGAUAAUUCAUCCCCUCUCCCAUAGAACUAACUCUCGUCUUAUUACAUUUACUUUUUAGUUCAAAUACGUGAAAUAUAUAGUUAGCUUUGAAGAGAUUGUAUGGUUUGACUCUAGUUGUUGAAAUGACAGGGAAAUGGCAAGUAAUAAUCCGGGAUGGUUAGUUUUGGUUGGGAUUUUGGUGACGUUAAGUUUACCAUAUUCACAUGCCUUUUGGGGAAAUGAAAAUAAGAUACAUACUGCUGUUUUCUUGUCACCCAAGUUCGUGCUCGGACCAGGAUCCGUGGAAAAUAGGUUCUAUUUCAAUGUCGACUUUCCGAAAGGUCAUAUUGCCUUGAAAAGUUUCGAUGCAGAAGUAAUUGAUGAGGCCGGGAAUCCUGUUCCACUGCACGAGACGUACCUGCAUCAUUGGGUUGUUGUUAGAUACUAUGUACGUAAAGGCGUGGAAAUAUCGAAGUUGGAUGACCUUAAAAAGGUUAACAGGUCGGACUAUAUUUCUGGGGGAAACAGUGGGAUUUGUCAGAAUGGAAUUCUUAGUCAGUUCUUUGGCCUCGGGUCUGAGACACGGAAAACUUCAACUCAUAUUCCCGAUCCAUAUGGAAUAGAAGUCGGUAAUCCUGCUGAAGUUCCUUCAGGGUUUGAGGAGCAAUGGAUGCUUAAUGUUCAUGCAAUUGAUACAAGGGGUGCGGAAGACAAGUUGGGAUGUACAGAAUGUCGUUGUGAUCUGUAUAAUGUUACGGUCGAUGAAUAUGGAAGACCUUUGAGGCCAUACUAUAAAGGAGGAUUGUUAUGUUGUUACGAUCGUACCCAAUGCAAGGUGAAACAUGGGUUUGAGGCUGUUAGAAGAACCCUUUACCUUAGAUACACUGUGAAGUGGAUUGAUAUGGAUAGGUUCGUCUUGCCUGUUAAAAUUUAUAUAUUUGAUAUCACUGAUAGUUGGAAAAGGACCCCUAGUUCAACUGAGAUUAAUGCAGAGCACAAGUGCAAGGUAGAUGAACUAUCUCGUUUAUGUGCUGCAACACCAUUUCUGUUUUGUCAAAUAAAAUUUCUUGUGAAAUAUCAUCAUUGAAUACAUUUGAUGCAGAUUGAAUAUGAUAUUGAAUCUUGUGAUGCCACUGGAUUGGGCAAUGAUGGAUGCAUCGACACCAAAAGGAUAAGCCUUGACAUGCUGUUUGGUGGUUAUCUCAUAUACGGUGUUGCACACCAACAUUCAGGUGGCACUGGUUCUGCUCUCUAUAGAGAGGUAUUGAAAUGUCUUAUUUCUGCGCAUCACUUUUAUACCAUUAUAUAAUGUAUAUGUAUAUGUAUGUAUGCAUACAUGCGAUCUGAUGAUGACGAAAAAGUGUCUGUUUGAUUUUGGUGAAUUUGAGGAUGGCCAACUUAUGUGUUCUUCAUUACCGACUUAUGGGAAAGGAGAAGAACCGGGAAAUGAAGCUGGUUACAUUGUAGGAAUGACCACCUGCUAUCCUAAACCCGGAACUGUGGAGAUAUCUGAAGGGGAGACUUUGAUUUUGGAGUUCAAUUACAGUAGAAUCAGACAUCAUACUGGUGUCAUGGGGCUGUUCUACGUUUUGGUUGCGGAUGACUUGCCCAAGCCAAUGCAUACCU